CAUCAGCUCUUACACAGAGUUCUGCUAUGUUUCAAGAAGCAGGAAGAAGAAACAGGCUCCCUGCUUGGGACAGAUGGUGAAAUGAGAAAACAGAGCCGCUGGACUCCUCUUUGGCUUUUAUUUUCCAGGAUCAUUAUCUUGAAACCACAGAGCACAGAGCAACAAGAGCUGCGGGGAGGCUGGGUCCAGCAUUUGACUGAGUCAGGACACCCUGCGGUUUGCCCUGCUCUGCCCUGACCAGCUGCCCUGACUCUGCAAACCAUUCUCACCCUGAGACAGCGCCCUGUGCGUAGAGGAGAGGAUUAUGACCUGCACGCAGCCCUUCUGAUGGCUAAGAUGAUGCAGUGACAAUUAAUGGGAUGAUAUGAUCCAACACAGAGCUUCUUUUGUGAAAGAGGUCAUGUGACCAUCUGAUUUCAGGAGAAGCCACUGGUUUCCAGGGUAUGGCAUGCCAUUCUCAAGUGCAGGUCUGGAAGACGGUGAGACCCAAACGUGUGCAGUCCGGUUGACAACUCGGCAACCACAUAUACUUCCCGGCUCAGCUACUGUUCCAAAGCUACAUGGGAUGUCAUUACUGGGGGACUCCAGGUGAAGGAGAUGAACUUUCUCAGAACUUCCUGUGGGUCUAGUAUUAUUUCAAGAUGUAAUGUUAUAAAAGAUUAAAAUCUUGUGUUAUUUUUUGA